UACGUAGACCUCGAACGUUAUCCGGAUUUACUGGGCGUAAAGCGUGCGUAGGCGUCCUUGCAAGUCUCUGGUGAAAUCUCCGGGCUUAACCCGGAAACUGUCAGAGAAACUGCAAGGAUAGAGUACGGCAGAGGCAAAUGGAAUGCUUGGUGUAGCGGUAAAAUGCGUUGAUAUCAAGCAGAACACCAGUGGCGAAG
rnacentral:rRNA from 1 species